GUUUAAGGUGUUGGUGCGCGAUUUUACGCGAAAUUUUAACCCGUUAACGAAACGAAAGGUAAAUGUAGUGCACGUUCCAUAAUGCGGUUUGCCAAAAAGUAGUUGAUUGUUGGAUAAAUAACAAAAAAAAAUGGUUUUCCAUUUUUCAUAACAAAUAUUUCAAACGACAUAUUUUACGUUUCUACUUGGUACUGCUAGAUAAUUCAAUUCAUUUAAACGUACGAUGAAAUUUUCCAAUAUUUUAAAUCAAAUAAAAUUUUCUCCAUCCAUUAUUCCAAAAUUUAUGCUGAGAAAUUGAUAUUUUUCCCAAAAAUUGAAUGUAACACAAUUUCAAUAUGAUAUACGAGGUAUAUCCACAAAGAAAGUUCCAUUUGGUUAUAAAAGAACAUACGUGCAGGUCAAAAAACAUAUUUUUCAUGCUGUUAACCUAAUUUUCUAUGUAGUUUCGAAAAUUUUUUAAACACUUGUUUUUGUAUGCCUCCUCCAUGUUUUUCCGGCUCGUUUCAACUUUGAGCGAGACAUUUCAGGUAUAAGAAGAGAUGAAAAUCGGUAGGAGUGAGGUCCGAGCUAUACGGAGGAUGAUCAAACACACCCCAGCCAAAUUCUUGGAGCGGUUUUUUUGUCACGUCACAGUGUGAGAUGGGGCAUUAUCGUGAAAAAAAAACAAAAACCAUUUGACAGUAAUCCUCGGAGUUUGCUCUGUUUCUUAAUUUCCACGGAUGUGCCUAAAUCAAACGGCAAAACGUCGGAGCAAACGGUGGAAAUGAGUUGUCGAGGUGUCGAAAUUUGCUUAGGGGUAUCGUAAAAUACCAAAAUUUCAUCCCCUAUGACUAUUCGAAAUAUAAGUUAGAAAAGGAACUUAUAUUGUGGAUGUACCUCGUAUGAAGGAAAUACUAAAAUCAGUUAUUAAAACUUUUUAUUCAAAUUUUUCUGAAAUUUUCGGUCCGAAUUAUUGCAUCAAAUUUUGAUUGAAAUGAUUUUUUUGUUACUUAUUGAGUGAGCAGAGAUUUAAUCAGAUGUUGUUGGUUUUUGUGUUUUCGGGAAUUUCAGGAAUAUUUUGUUGAGAUUAAUACAGUUACAGAUUCUAAUUAUUGAAGAAAAAUAGAUUGAAUUUAUUUUUAAAUAACUUUUUUAACAUUCAGAAAGUUUUAACAAACAUCCAAAUUUCGACUACUCCUUUACAUUCAAACAGAAGAUUGUUAAUAUUUAUGACCAAAGCUAAUUUUUCUCAUUAUAUGAUACUGAUCAAAUAAAAUCUUGACGUUGUUAUUUUGGAUUGAUCAAUUCUUUUCAGCGUUUACUGUAACACAUUUAAGUCCAGUAAAUAUUUGAUGAAUAAUUAUGAUGAUAAUCAUAUGAUAGAAUUGCUCCAAAACACCUCAAAUUCACUUUGAUUCGAAAUAGUAGUACAUGGAUCUUUCUGAUCAAUAUAAAUGAUAAUUAGAUAAUUAAGUAACUUGAAGAUGUGAUUUCCAUUCAAAUGACUUUCCGAGUAAUCUGUUGAGAUUUUCCUGAUCUUUGAGAACAAAUCUGUUGGGUUAAUGAGAUGAUUGUGUGAUGAAUGUCAUAAAUGAGGUAGGCAACCGCCGCGAUAUGGAAAAGUGAUUCGUAAUUUUCGGUAUCGAUUUCGGUGUGUCGCGAAUCGGUUUUAAGUGAUGGAUAUCAUGGAAAUGGAAAAUGGAUAUGGAGGCUUUCCUAUGUGGACAAAGUUAUGUGUUUGUGCGCGAUUCGACGCGAAAUUUUAACCCGUUAACGAAACGAAAAAUAUAUAGUGUGCGAAUCGAUAAAGCGGUUUGCCAAAAGGAAGGUGAUUGUUGAAUAAAUAACAAUAAAACAUAUUUCUUCAAUUUUUGUAACAAAUAUGUAUUUUAAAUUACAAAUAUAUGUGUUUCUAAAAUGGAAAUGCUGCUGCAUGAGGAAUAUAUGAAUACAUGUAAAAUUCUAUUUUCUAUUAUCGUUUUUCUGUGUCACGUUUCUUUCCAAAACUUAACCUGUCUGAAAAAAAAAAUUUUUAUGUAAUAAAUUUUUUACAAAUUAAAUUUACAAAUAUAAAAAAAAAUUAUAGAUAUCUGGAGAAUAAUAUUCGUAUGAAUUUGUCUUUUUAUGUUUGUUUUUUUCAGUUAAGUAAAUUGAAAGUAUGUGUGUGAUAAUUAUUGUAUCUUGUAUGCGUGUGUAAAAAAUUCCGUUUUGCAAUCUUCAUAUCGAUGGCUACUUCAUUUGUUAUAAAUUUUCGUUUUUCUCUCCCAAACUGGACCUGAAAUUUAAAAAUAUAAAAUGUUGUAAACUUCGAAUAUGUGAAUUACUUUGAUAAUAAUUGAAUGAUAAAAUAAUUAUACCCUG